AAUGUGUGCUACUUUUAGGUUUCAGUUCUUCGUACAAAGAUACCUUGCAAGCGGUCCGACAGAGUUUAUGUGCGAUUGCAAACCCGAACACAACGGCAGUAAGGUCACAAAGUUUCUAACGUGCUCCAAGAUUUCAAUUUGAAAUUGUCUGAACCGGAAUAGUCAAGAGAGCCGUGGACGAGAGAAAGAUUACCAAACCCGUGGGAUAUAAUCUGACUUGACAGAUAAUGUGAAUCGAUCUUAAAUUGUGGACCUAUUAGUUUCUGUAAAGAGAAGGCUGAGUAUUGGGUCGCUGCAAUGAAGUGAUAGAAAGCCCUACGUUCAGUCUGUCGAGAUGCUUCCCUGUUUCUAACUCAAAGGUUCUUCCAAAGAAGUUAUAGUGAAUUGGCAAUUUCAAAUUGAAAUCUUGGAGCACAUUAGAAACUUUGCGACCUUACUGACGUUGUGUUCGGGUUUGCAAUCGC